rnacentral:rRNA from 1 species
UACGUAGGGUGCAAGCGUUAAUCGGAAUUACUGGGCGUAAAGCGUGCGCAGGCGGCGAUGUAAGACAGAUGUGAAAUCCCCGGGCUCAACCUGGGAACUGCAUUUGUGACUGCAUCGCUAGAGUACGGCAGAGGGGGAUGGAAUUCCGCGUGUAGCAGUGAAAUGCGUAGAUAUGCGGAGGAACACCGAUGGCGAAGGCAAUCCCCUGGGCCUGUACUGACGCUCAUGCACGAAAGCGUGGGGAGCAAACAGG